CGCGUCUUUGAAUGAAGGAGGUGGAACAUGUAUCAGCAAUGAAUCAAAGUAUUGAAAUCUUAAGUUCGAAAUAACAUAUUGCAAUAAACGUGCAUUAAAUCCAACUUAUUUCCUUAAUGUUUAUAUAGAGUCAUGCCCUUUUUCUGAUUCAGAGAAGCAAGAGAACUGUUAAACUUUUCGGGUUUUAGAGAUAUGUUAAAGAGUAACUGUAGUGCAAAUAGUAACCGAUAAUAAAACAUUCCUUGUGUUUAUAUAAUGAUGUUGCCGAAAACCGCAUCGAAAUCGCUGGACCGGUUACCAAGUUACGACAGGUAGAAGUUGAGCGUUUUACCUGCGUUUCCAUAUGCUCAUCAAGCGUACCGCGCGCCGCUAAAAGUUGUGCACACGUAUUGGUGACGUCACAACGGGAACACAAGAAAAACCGGCAUCAUGGCGAAUAACGUUACCUACGUAUCGAUCUGAGAAAGCGACGAAGAAUCUGUUGAUUUAUACAUGUCUGACGGCUCAUCUAACUUUGAGAUGGACGGGGCAACCUACGACGGAGUAACACAGCCUUACAUGUUCGAACCAGAGACGGAUGACGACCCAAACGAGGAAACUUCAGUGGCCGACCACGAGCCCGAGAUCCAAACCAUACGACUUUGAAGCAACAAUUGUUGUAGAUGCGGACACUGUCCUGCAAUGUCUACCGAAGUGGAAAGUAUUUGUUGCAAAGAAGUCGACCAGGUCCAAGUCAUGAUGGAUGCCAUUCCAGGUGACCUAUCAUGCAUCACUCUCCAUCCUGGAUUUGAUGCUGUCUGUUUGAAUAUUUAUGUUCUGCAGACAGCAUACCUGACAUUUCGUCAGUACCAUGGUCAAUUGACAGACGAUGAAAACAAGAGAAAUCGAUAUAUUGCCUUUCGUCAAUUUGUGAGAUGGUGCUGGGGUUGGCUUGGUCGACAUGUUCGUGUACGACUCCCAGCAUGUGCU